CCAUGGAAACACACCUAACCCCACAUAGAACUCUCACAAAGACCAUGGGUUAGUACACAAAGCUUAAUGGACAAUGCUUACCAAACCAUGGGAUCACUUUAUCCCUCUCGGUACAUCUUGUACGCUUUGUGUGUUGACAAAAUUGAUUCACUCAUUGACUUAGUCUUGAUCAACCUUGUGUCUUUAUGACCAAUCUUCGGAUAAAACCUUGAAUACCACCUUGGUCAUUAUAUAAACUCCUUGAAACCAACACCUGGACUUCAAGAAGUGCCUAUG
rnacentral:lncRNA from 1 species